rnacentral:lncRNA from 1 species
GUUCUCUGGACUGGGCUUCCCAACGACGUGGCCCAAGACCUGCCAUUUAUGUUUUUAUCUGUCCAAUAAGGAUGAUAUGAUUGUACCAUUGCCCUCACGCAGAGGUUUGAAGUGGCUGAAGAGGCAAGAGGCUUGAGCUGCGUUGCGGUUUGGGUCACCCUUCCUGCUUAACAAGCCCCUGCACCCAGUAGGGGCUGUGGCUACUCAACUCCAAGAGUCCUUGUGCAGCAGCGGGCUGUGAAGCUGGAGAGUUCGCAGACAGAGUCUCACUUUGUCACCUGGGCUAGAGUGCAGUGGCUCGAUCUCAGCUCAAAAGUGAUCCUGCGUCAAGUAAUUCUUCUGCCUUAGCCUCCCGAGUAUCUGGAAUUACAGGCACCUGCCACCAUGCCCAGUGGACAUUCCAGGAAGGUCCAUCCUGCCUAUCAUCACAUGUCCAGUGCAUAAGACUGUUCCUGACACAUACUAGACACUCCGUCAAUGUCUCUGGACUGAACAAAUGGUGAGAUUUGAUGCCAAAUGGAGUAGGAAAAAACUGCAACCCCAGCCGUCCCCAAAAGGGCGAACAUCUUAAAUCCAUAAGUCAUGCCAACUUUGAAGGUUUUAUUCAACGUUUGAAUCAUGCUCAAACUUGCAGACUUGACUUAGAGCUUAGAUGCUUCAUCUCCAAAGGAAGCUGGCCGUGGAGUAUAACAGGAAAUCUAGUAAGCAAUCUGGAGUUUUCCUCUAGAAAGUGCUGUGGUCUCAAAGUACAGUCCUGGUAUCUGGACACAACGCCACAAAGGUUGCGGCACAGAGGCGCUAAACCCCAUACUCUGAUGGUGUAG